rnacentral:rRNA from 1 species
GAUGAACGCUGGCGGCGUGCCUAAUACAUGCAAGUCGAGCGAACGGACGAGAAGCUUGCUUUUCUGAUGUUAGCGGCGGACGGGAGAGUAACACGUGGAUAACCUACCUAUAAGACUGGGAUAACUUCGGGAAACCGGCGCUAAUACCGGAUAAUAUUUUGAACCGCAUGGUUCAAAAGUGAAAGACGGUCUUGCUGUCACUUAUAGAUGGUUACGCGCUGCAUUAGCUAGUUGGUAAGGUAACGGCUUACCAACGCAACGAUGCAUAGCCGACCUGAGAGGGGGAUCGGCCACUCUGGAGCUGAGAUACGGAGCAGAAUCCGACGGGAGGCAGCGGUGGGGAUUCUAGCGUAGUGGGCGAAAGCCUAUCGAAGCAACGGCGCGUGAGUGAUGCAGAGCUCCGGCUCGUAAAACACUGUUAUUGGGGAAAAACAAAUGUGUAAGUAACUGUGCGCAACUGGACGGUACCGAAACAGAAAGCCACGCCUACUUCGGU